GACGAACGCUGGCGGCGUGCCUAACACAUGCAAGUCGAGGGUUUUAGUAGUAAUACGAAGAACACUGGCGCACGGGUGAGUAACGCGUAGAUCAUCUGCCCCUAACACUGACAUAACAGUUCUAACGGACUGCUAAUAUCAGAUGUGAUAAGCAAUUAUUAAAGGGUAACCGGUUAGGGAUGAGUCUGCGUCUGAUUAGGUAGUUGGUGAGGUAACGGCUCACCAAGCCUACGAUCAGUAACUGGUCUGAGAGGACGAACAGUCACACUGGAACUGAGACACGGUCCAGACUCCUACGGGAGGCAGCAGUGAGGAAUAUUGGACAAUGGGCGGAAGCCUGAUCCAGCAACGCCGCGUGAGGGAUGACGGCCUCGG
rnacentral:rRNA from 1 species